rnacentral:rRNA from 1 species
AUGUGUAUGGUAUUGCUCUACACGUCCCAUACCCGCGCACCCGUGUGCCUUGGCCAUCGCCUUGGCGCACAACCCACCGCACCAGCCAGGCGCACGGCCAGCACGCACGCUCGCCACUCCCGUCGCGCCGCCUCCUUGCUGGCUCCUCCCCCGCCUUCGCCGCGCGCUGCCACUUACCGUCGCGUCACCUUCUCUGCUUCUCUCCAGCCUCCGACCACCGUAGACCCGUACUCCCGUAGCGCGCUGCCUCGGUCCCUACGUCGCUGCACGCCUGCACACGGCGGAGGAGCUCCCGGGUACUCCGGCAGAAUCCAAAAACUGAGCCAAAUUGUCGGUUUUUUUUUCUAA